rnacentral:lncRNA from 1 species
CCCUUGCUGUGUGCGGUCGUGUUCGUUCCUCUCGUCUCGAUGUUCGUAGGGUUCGUAGCACGCCUAAGGUUGGCGGAGACUUGCAUGGAAAUGUGAGCUUACAUGCCUCAAAUAAUCAGGUGAUGUGGCAAGGAUGACUGCGUUUCCGAUCCUGCAGGUUGUAGAAAAGCCUCGCAGCUCCCCAGCUGCCACCAGUGUUCCUGAAUCAUCAGGUUUUGAAAACAUCGUAGUUUACGAAGCGAUCGCUGCACCAUGAUUUACUCGAGAAACCAUGAAGAGGCGUAGCCGUACUUAAUGCAUUUGUUUGAACAUAUUUGCGGAUACUACUUCGUGUGGGAAACACUGGUAAGUACUGCGUCGUCUGUAGAAAUCGAGGACAUUCACCGCUUUUGUCAUUUGACUAAUAAAGCAUUUUUUAAA